CAUUCUGGGUUAUUCUCCUAGAUACAUAAUUUAUUAGGAUACUUUACAUUUUAAAAGAGACCUCAGAAUAAGCUUCUUAUUGCCCUUCAAGUAUUGCCAGCGCUACCCAUCAGGAAACCCUGACCUUAAAAUCGUGAAUGUAAAGUAAUAUCUUUUUUUUUUUUUUUUGUGGAUUUAUUUUCUAUGAGCUUGUCCAGGUGUGUUUUUCCCCCUUGGCAGUUCAUGCGGGUUAGCUGCCUUGUGUUCAUGAUUCCUUAUCCGUGUCCCUCCCAGCGAGAGAAGGAAACAACAGAAUUGAAUGGAUUUUGGUGUGGUCCUCCUGAACUGGAGCUGAAAGCUGACCUGUGAUGGGCAAUCCAGCCCUUUAAAUAAAGCCAGGGGAAAACAUUUCUGGUCUGGAGUCAGGCCUGAAUUAGAAGUUACGGGUCAUUAGUCUCUUUUUUAAACCAUGCCUAGGGUUGGGUAGGGAUCAGCAAUGAGCAGAUGGCAAGGUACUAGACUGAAGGAGACAUUUGACUUUUUGCUUGCAUUGCAAGUGCAAGGUUAUGAUGCGGCGUUCCCAUUCCUGCUGAAAUGUUGUUGGCAGUCUCAGGGAACAAGUAGCCCAGGGAGCUGUGCUCAGGGGGACAGCCAGGUGGGCAGGCAGAGUCACUUCUGGGAAUGGCUUUCACCUGGUCUCAUUUUGGCCAGGUGCUGCCUGUUUUCUCCUGCAUGCCCUUUUUUGCUGCAGCAGGAGGUUAGCAGAGAGUAAUUUUGAAGAAAGGUAUUGUGGAGGUAGAAGUAUUUUUUUUUCUCUUUGAAACAUUAUGAAAUUUUAUAUUUACCUUUACAAGAUCUAUAUCAGAAGAGAUGGAGCUAUCUGGGAAGAUUUUUGUUUGUGUGAUGUGUUUGUUGUGGUGCAGUGCUGUGGGAGACUUUGUGCAUGGCUGCAGGUGAAAAGGAGAAGCAAAUAGGAAGGACUCAUAAGAUCCCUGAACAUGUCCAGAGCACGCUGAGGGAUGUGAGUGUAGUUACCAGCGCUCCGGCAGCGUAUGGCAGGAAGGAUACUGACACUACUCCACACUCUGAAAUUCGGAGAAGGCUGAUGGGGAAGAAUCGAGGGAUUGCAGAGCAAAAGGUCUGGCUGAAUGCUCCUCAGGGGAGAUGUGUAAUGAAAAGGAGCAGGGGCAGAGGCUGGAAAUGGCAGCAGGGGGAACACAGGCAUGUUCUCCACAUGUGCCUUUGAGGGGGCUGUAAGAAUGAGGAACAAAUCCCCUGCUGCAAUGGGAAGUGGGGGUGAAGACACCUGUGGAAGUGAAAAGAAGGGGCUGAAGGAAGUAUCAUGGUACUAUUUCAUUUCUGCCUCUUGUUGGUAAUGCUGGAAAGGCUGGUUGUGUUUGGAGCAAAACAACUGCCUCAUGCAGAUUUACCCUGACAGAUGGUAACAAACACAUCCAGCUCUGAGCAGGCAAGGGGCAAUGCCUUUGCUUUUGAGUCAGGGCUGUCACUGAGACAGCAACCAAAAUGAAACGAAAAGAAAGCACGCGUUAAGCUAUUAAUCAAGCCGCAAAAAAGCGGGUGAGCCUGUAGGUUCUGUGUGCUACUCAGAAAGCAGAGUAUAUAAAGGCUAACGCAGGGAGAAAAAAAUGAGUCUUCCUAUGAAAGGAUAGGCUGUGUUCCUGUAGUGCUGAAAAUUUGGAAGAUAUUAAGAGCUUUAUAUGAAAACUCAUUACCUGCUAAGCAUGCAGCAUUCUUUAAGCAAAUGCACAUAGUACUUUGCAGCAAAUGUAGUGCCUAAAACUUUAAUGGCAUAAUGAUAUUUCGAUGUUAAAUCUGACAUUUUCGUUUGUCUUCACUGGCUCAGUGUCUCUGAUAGAUGAGGAAAUUGGAGAGAGAAGAAAAGAGGAAGUAAUAUCUAAUUCAAUACCAAUUACCGUCAUUUUUCCUGUUUCUUUAUUCUCUGUAUCUACGUAGAGUAAAAUAUGAG
rnacentral:lncRNA from 1 species